UACGUAGGCAGCAAGCGUUGUUCGGAAUUACUGGGCGUAAAGAGUGUGUAGGCGGUGCUCUAAGUCUGUUGUGAAAUCUCCCGGCCUUAACCGGGAGGGUGCGGCGGAAACUGGAGUGCUUGAGGGUGGGAGAGGUAAGCGGAAUUCCCGGUGUAGUGGUGGAAUGCGUAGAGAUGUGGAGGAACACCUAUGGCGAAGGCAGCUCUCUGGGACGGUACUGACGCUGAGACGCGAAAGCGUGGGGAGCGAACAGG
rnacentral:rRNA from 1 species